ACAAUAUAGCUCAAGGGUAGAACAUUUGCUUAAAAUGCACAAGGCCCUGAGUUCAAUCCCCAGUGAA
rnacentral:tRNA from 1 species